rnacentral:hammerhead_ribozyme from 1 species
GUCCUGAUGAAGAGUCUCAAACUAGGACGAAACAGCUGUCCAGUAC